rnacentral:rRNA from 1 species
CAGUCGCCACGGGAAUACAGAGGGUGCAAGCGUUAAUCGGAAUUACUGGGCGUAAAGCGCGCGUAGGUGGUUCGCCAAGUUGGAUGUGAAAUCCCCGGGCUCAACCUGGGAACUGCAUCCAAAACUGGCGAGCUAGAGUAUGGUAGAGGGUGGUGGAAUUUCCUGUGUAGCGGUGAAAUGCGUAGAUAUAGGAAGGAACACCAGUGGCGAAGGCGACCACCUGGACUGAUACUGACACUGAGGUGCGAAAGCGUGGGGAGCAAACAGGAUUAGAUACCCCCGUAGUCCCUGUCUCUUAUAC